rnacentral:rRNA from 1 species
UCGGACCUACGGGGGGCAGCAGUGAGGAAUAUUGGUCAAUGGGCGGAAGCCUGAACCAGCCAAGUCGCGUGAGGGAAUAGGGCCCUACGGGUCGUAAACCUCUUUUGCCGGGGAGCAAGGGCCGGGACGCGUCCCGGCCCGGAGAGUACCCGGAGAAAAAGCAUCGGCUAACUCCGUGCCAGCAGCCGCGGUAAUACGGAGGAUGCGAGCGUUAUCCGGAUUUAUUGGGUUUAAAGGGCGGGUAGGCGGGAGGGCAAGGCAGAUGUGAAAACUAUGGG